rnacentral:ncRNA from 2 species
ACGACCUCACACGGGCGCCCCACUGGUUAGGGGCUGAGACCGCGCCGAAGCAGCCGCGCGGGCACCGUUCGAACCUGCCUGGUUAGCACCAGCGAAGGAAGUAAGGAGCCAUUUCGU